rnacentral:misc_RNA from 1 species
AAGCUUUUGCAAAGAUUUCAACUUGCAAAUACAACUUGGAAGAAUAUGAAACUUUUUGCAGUUUUGAAGGCUUAAUUCAACAAGUUCAAAGCAGAACUCAAUUGAUGAUGGUAUUUCCUCUACUGCUGUCCCAUCUAAGAACAACUUCUUUAUGCUCUUUGAAACCUCUGGAAACUUGUUGAUCCCUGAGCAGCCCGAGACAAUAAGCUUUUCAAGUGAU